GAAACAAUACAGUAUGCAGAUAUUGGUUUCCUUAGACGACGUGUAAACUUAAAAAGCAGUAACGACAAUAGAAAAGAAGAAGUUGAUAUAUUUACCAUAUAUUUAAAUGAUAAAUAUGUUAACGAUCUAGCGGAUAGACUUUUUAAUGAUGUAUUUGGAGAUUGUCUGUUGGAUGUUGUUCUCAAUCCAUGUGUGAGGAAUGAGAAGGUGGCUACAUGUUUCAUACAAAAAUUAAAAGAUAGCCCCGAAAAACUGCACAACUUACUUGGCAAAAAACAGCUUCAGGAAAAGUUUAGAAAGGAAGAAGAAAAUCAAGAAUUAAAACAAUCAUUUUGUUCCAAACUUGAGUUUCUGUAUAAAGAAGAUAAAGUGCAAAUUCUUAGUGCUAUCAUAGUAUUUUGUCAUACAAAUGUAUCAAAACAUUGUUUAGAAACUUUACAGCGAAUGCAAAAUUCUCUUAAAUAUACUUCUUUUUUUUCUGCGGUAUGUUGCAAUGGUUCGAUGGAUUUGUUCAAUGUCUUUCCAAAAGAACAAAUUAAAUGGUUUUUGGUGAAAACGUGGGGGGAUACUAUCCUAUUCACAUUGCUUCCAUGUUUCAUAAUUAUGAAAUAUUGCGGGAGCUGAUACAGGUGAAAAAUAACGUGAAUUUGAGAACCAGGAGGGAAUAUGGAUAUACUCCCUUGAUGUUGGCAGUUUUCAAUACGGACACAAGCGAAC
rnacentral:sRNA from 1 species